ACAGCCAAUAAAACAAAUUCACCCGUGGAGUAAGCUUGUCGAUACUGACUGAAAUUGUAUAAGCGUAUACUUACUAUACUAACUACCUACUGUUUGUCAUUGUUCAAAGAAUUUUCAUUACCAUAGUUGACACACGACACGGCGACUGUUAUCAAACGUGUCGACAACAUUCGUACCUGGCACGGCGCACGCACACUAUUGACUGUGUACAGCAUAUCCAUAUAUGCACUGCACGUGUAGCUUAUCCACCUUUGUACUUAUAUCUUUUACAAAAAUGGCGACACCCGUACAUGUUAGUCUAUUCAAACAUUAACAACACGAACGAUUAACAUACAAGAUGUCACACUAAUAAACGUUCAACUAUAUAAAACGUAGGCAUAAAAAAACUAUCACUGUCUAGUCGUUCAUGCAAUAAAACAUAUAUACGUACAAAGGUACAAUGUUUUCGUAAUAAACAGCACGAUCUGGGAAUGAGGAGCCAUUCCCUUAAUUUUUACAACUUACGUAAACGGCCGUCAUAGCAGGAUAGGCUGCGUACAUAUUAACGAGAGCAUACUGAUGGUACAAAUAAAGGUUCACUGCCACUCCCAUGUACGAAGACGCUGAGAAGUAAAGGAAACACGCCACAGCAUUAAAUAGGCAUUCCUGAAAAAGAAAAAUUAAUGUAAGAACAGGCUCGUACAAAUAAAUGUACAUUCUAAAAGUGAUAUAAUGAAAUACACCAGUCAAGAUGCAUUCGAAUAAAGUUUACCGAUUUCUUUUUUUAACGAAAUU